CUCUCCUGUAAAAUUGGUUUCCAAAAACACAUUGUGAAAAUAUAGCAGAUAGAUCAAUCAAGGCAAGAGUUUAGAUUCCAAGCUAAUACUUGGGACUCCAUAAUAUAUCAUCAUAAACAU